rnacentral:rRNA from 1 species
CGAAUCUUCCGCAAUGCACGCAAGUGUGACGGAGCGACGCCGCGUGGAGGACGAAGUUCUUCGGAAUGUAAACUCCUGUCAGGGGAAAGAAAGUUCUGAUCUACCCCAGAGGAAGAGGCGGCUAACUCGGUGCCAGCAGCCGCGGUAAUACAGAGGCCUCAAGCGUUAGGCGGAAUCACUGGGCUUAAAGCGUGUGUAGGCGGGUCGUUAAGUACCUUGUGAAAUCCCACGGCUUAACUGUGGAACUGCUUGGUAUACUGGCGAUCUUGAGCCACUUAGGGGCUACCGGAACAGAUGGUGGAGCGGUGAAAUGCGUAGAUAUCAUCUGGAACGCCAAUGGUGAAAACAGGUAGCUGGGAGUGUGCUGACGCUGAGACACGAAAGCCAGGGGAGCGAAC